GGUGAACACAGAGCAGUUCUGCUCAGGGCUUUGGAAGAAGGCCAGGGUACCCGCACCGAGGCAUAGGAGGGCGGCAGGUGGGUUUGUAGGCUGUGCUAAUGUAUUUCAAGUAUGGCUGUAGCCAGGCCUGCCUCAUUGCCUACUUUCUCCUAUUUGACAACCCUCAGCUCCCUUCCCACGAGGCUCCUGCCUCAGGACCUCUGCAUUCGCUGUUGUCUCUGCCCGGCACCCCUUUUCCCCAGAGUCACUCACUCCCUUCAGGUCUUUACUCAAAAGUCACCUUCUUGGUGAGGCCUUCCCUAUUGUUUUAUAUCCAAUUUCAGCACCCUGCCCAACAUCUCAUGUCCUCUCUCCUCUUUCAUCUACUUGUUUUCCAGCUUGUCACUAUAUAAAGUACAUUCUGAUUUAUGUGUUGUGACAGCAGCCUCUAAGAUGGCCCCCAACCAUGUGCCUCCUGCGUUUGCACCUUUGUGUAGCCCUCCCCUGAGUGCGGGCUGGAUUGAGUAACUAGCUUCUAGCCAAUAGAAUGUGGCAGAGAGGACGGGCUGUCACUUCUUUCUUUCUCUGGAAUUGCUCACCAUGACAUGAGGAGUCCUGUGGCAAAGGACCAAGGCCUGGCCAACAACCAGUGAGAGAGCUGAGACACAGACCCCUUCCCAGCUGAGCCUUCUGAUGAGAACACAGCUCCAGCCAGUGGCUCGACUGCAGCCUCACGAGAGAUUUUGUGCCAGAGGGUCCAGAGCACCCAGGACCAGAUUCUUGACCCUCAGAAACUGGGAGACAAUACAUGCUGUUGUUUUAAGCCACUGAGUUUUGGGGUAAUCUGGUCUUCAGCAGUAGGGAGGACCUUUCCUGGGUGUCCUGUCGCACGUGGAAGGGAGAGUGCACAUAUUGGAAACCUACUGAGGUCACAUUCACGUAACAAGGAGGGGUAGGAGAGAGAUCUCUCAGGAAUUUCCCAUCUAAAGUUUGUGUCUUAAAACAGUGAAAACAGCAAGAGCACCCUCAACGCAGAAAUAAUUAAACAAGCACUUUGGGAAGACACAGUUGAUGAAAGAAAUUUUCACAUAUUAAGGGAUAAAUGCUGCCUGCUGCCCCUUCCCCAGCAACACCCAUGCCAGCAUUCCUUCGAAGAUGAGAUUCCCUUCCCAGACGCCAAGGUCAUGCUGACUUUCUGUGUACCUGCUAAUCUGUUUUGAAAACUUGCAGAAAUGUACCUUUGUCAUGUUUGAUGUUUGUUGUUCUGACAAGUUAUUAAACUGUGGUUCAGGCAUCCAAAUUGGAGCCGGGUGGCCAUUACGGAUGUGGUUUCAGACAGUUCCUGCAUCACUGGGAACUUGAAUUUUCUAAACUGUAUCAGACUCAAGGUCAUGACCAACUGUUCUCAAAAUAGUAUCUGCUAGUCGCUGCCACCAGCAACCUUAUAAUCUCAAGAUCUCUCCUGGUAACUAUGCAUUUUGGAGCCCAACCAAUUCUUGCUUUACAAGCACCUUCCUUAUUGCCAGUUCCAAUCCUAAUUCUUGACAAUUUAUGUAACUUUGCAGUUUUUGCUUGUAUAAGCCUCCCCCAUUUUGUAGCCUGGGGAACACAAUUCAAGUGCUUCUUGAAUCUGGGUCUCCUGCUCUGCAGUCCUCAGUUUAGCCCAAACAAAACUUGUCUCUUCCUCUCGUCAAUGUAAAUAAUCAGUAACCAACCUCAGCUGAUUAAGAGGGAGGGUUGGAAAGAAAGAAAAGACACAGUUUAAGAAAAAAAAAAAAAAAAAAAGAGGGAGGUUUGGGAAGAGCUCCCGUGGUUCCACGGAGCCCCAUCUCUGGGGGUCAGGAGGGCGUUGGAAAGGCUGGUCCGAGGGCUGAAGGCACCCGAAGCACCCAGGCUUGGGACAAUCUUUUUUCCAGUGACCCGGCUCUUUGCAGUCAUAGUGGUGGGGUCAGAGGAAGGCCGAUCGGGGGGCCUUUGUUGGCCACCUAAGGACUUUGGCCUUUACUCUCAGUGAGAUGGGACCCACUGGAGCAGUUGUGAGCAGAGGAGGGUGCCAGCUGACAGAUCUUACACACGCAGCCCUGGGCUUCCGGGUGGAGAACUGGCUAAAGUCUGCCCCCGUGUGGCCGGAGCAGGGCAUGCAGGACUGGGCUGAUCCGCAGGUGCCAGGGGCAUGACCCUUCCUGGGUCCAGAGAGGCCCUGGGGGGCUGCCCCCCAAUGGGCCGUGAAGGGCAAACUGCAUCUCCUCACUCCAGAUCCUUCCCAGGGUACAUGGGAGGGACGAGUUAGUGGGGAAGGAAGGGGCCGAGAGCCUGCUGGAGAGUCUUCCCCCCAUCCCGCCCCGCCUUAAAUCCCUGCUCUUGGGCAAUUUCCACCACAUCUUCUCUUGUUCCGCGUGGAAGCUGAAUGGCAACCGAUAGAUCAGUUGAUCAAUAGAUCAACUGGGAAUUCCCUGGCGGUCCAGUGGUUAGGACUCGGCACUUGCACUGCCGGGGGCCCCGGGUUUGA